rnacentral:tRNA from 1 species
GCCCGCGUAGCUUAAUACAAAGCAUAACACUGAAGAUGUUACGAUAGCCCUGAGACCGGGUUCGCAAGCA